GGCAGCGAACUGAAGUAGCGAAGCUUCGGCCCCUAACUGCCAAGAAAAGCCGCUAUUGUUUGCAUGACACCCGUACCGUAAACCGACACAGGUGGAUGAGGAGAGAAUCCUAAGGCCGACGGGAGAAGCAUUGUUAAGGAACUCGGCAAAAUGACCCCGUAACUUCGGGAGAAGGGGUGCCUCGAAAGAGGCCGCAGAGAAUUGGCCCAAGCAACUGUUUAGCAAAAACACAGGUCUAUGCAAAACCGAAAGGUGAGGUAUAUGGGCUGACGCCUGCCCGGUGCUGGAAGGUUAAGAGGAGAGCUUAGCGCAAGCGAAGGUUUGAAUUUAAGCCCCAGUAAACGGCGGCCGUAACAAUAACGGUCCUAAGGUAGCGAAAUUCCUUGUCGGGUAAGUUCCGACCCGCACGAAAGGCGUAAUGAUUUGGGCGCUGUCUCGACAAUGCACCCGGUGAAAUUGAAGUACCAGUGAAGAUGCUGGUUACCCGCGCCAGGACGGAAAGACCCCAUGGAGCUUUACUCUAGCUUGAUACUGGGAUUCGGUAUUGUCUGUACAGGAUAGGUGGGAGGCUAUGAACCGUGGACGCCAGUCUGCGGGGAGCCGCUGUUGGGAUACCACCCUUACAAUACUGGAUUUCUAACCUGCCGCCAUGACCUGGCGGAGGGACAAUGUCUGGUGGGGAGUUUGACUGGGGCGGUCGCCUCCGAAAGAGUAUCGGAGGCGCUCAAAGGUCCUCUCAGGAUGGACGGAAACCAUCCGAAGAGUGCAAAGGCAUAAGAGGGCUUGACUGUGACACCGACGGGUGGAGCAGGUACGAAAGUAGGACUUAGUGAUCCGGUGGUAGAAAGUGGGAUUGCCAUCGCUCAACGGAUAAAAGCUACCCUGGGAUAACAGGCUUAUCACUCCCAAGAGUUCACAUCGACGGAGUGGUUUGGCACCUCGAUGUCGGCUCAUCGCAUCCUGGGGCUGUAGCAGGUCCCAAGGGUUGGGCUGUUCGCCCAUUAAAGCGGUACGCGAGCUGGGUUCAGAACGUCGUGAGACAGUUCGGUCCCUAUCCGGCGCGGGCGUAGGAUAUUUGAGAGGAGCUGUCCUUAGUACGAGAGGACCGGGAUGGACGAACCGCUGGUGGAUCGGUUGCAUUAUCAAGUGCAUGGCCGAGUAGCCAAGUUCGGAAGGGAUAAACGCUGAAGGCAUCUAAGCGUGAAGCCCCCCUCAAGAUGAGAUAUCCCAUUCUUUAAAAGAAGUAAGACCCCUUGAAGACCACGAGGUAGAUAGGGCAGAGGUGGAAGUACGGUAACGUAUGGAGCUGACUGUCACUAAUCGGUCGAGGGCUUGACC
rnacentral:rRNA from 1 species